rnacentral:tRNA from 1 species
GGGCCGGUAGCUCAGUUGGUAGAGCAGCUGACUUUUAAUCAGCGGGUCAUGGGUUCGAAUCCCGUCCGGCUCACCA